rnacentral:rRNA from 1 species
UACGCUGGCGGCACGCCUAACACAUGCAAGUCGAACGAAGUAGCAAUACUUAGUGGCAGACGGGUGAGUAACAUGUAGGUAUCUACCCUUUGGCCUGGAAUAACACGAGGAAACUUGUGCUAAUACUGGAUAAGUCUUUACGGAGAAAGCUUUAUGCACCAUUGGAUGAGCCUGCACUUGAUUAGUUUGUUGGUAGGGUAACGGCCUACCAAGACUGUGAUCAAUAGCUGAUUUGAGAGGAUGAUCAGCCACAUUGGGACUGAGACACGGCCCAAACUGCUACGGGAGGCAGCAGUGGGGAAUCUUGCACAAUGGAGGAAACUCUGAUGCAGCGAUGCCGCGUGAGUGAAGAAGGCCUUUGGGUUGUAAAGCUCUUUCGUCGGGGAAGAAAAUGACUGUACCCGAAUAAGAAGGUCCGGCUAACUUCGUGCC